UCUGGAACUCACUCCCAUGAUAACAGCAUGAAUCCAUUCAUGAGGAAAGAGCCCUCCUGACCUAAUUACCCACUUAAAUAUCCCUGCUCCCAACAGGGAGCGCUGGGGAUUAGGUUUCCAACACAGCAAUCUGGGGACACUUUCAAAGCACAGCUGAGGAUAUUCCUGUCUUCUGUUUGUUCCUCUGUCACGUGAUGCCCUGGGGCAGCAUGAACAGCAGGUAAGUUUCACGACAUGAGAUCGUCCAAGAGGCCUAUGGGGUUCUUCCUGGGGUCUGCCUCGGUGGCACCCUCUUCCUACCCUGCUGUGUUGAGGCGACCCUGCUCUGUUGGCCUGCUGGCGAGGAGGAGAGUUCUGUGAGCUGAGGGCUGACAGACUCCAUUUAAACAUCAAAGAGUGGAUAAGUGAACCAGGCAGGUGCGUGCUCCCCGUCAGCACCCACUUGACAAGACACUGUAACAGGCAAGGAAUCUGGAUAGAAAAUGGGCAGAAGAGAAAAAGAAAAAUGUUCAAAAUAGAAACUAGGAAAUGUAAGUUGAAGCCAUGGGGUAACACGAUUUAAAAUAGAGGAAAAGGUAGAAUAGGCCGACAUGUCCGACAGGUGAGUGGCUAUGUAAAUCAGAGGAAAUAUUUGUCACAGAGUUCUUCCACAGCCAUUAAACAUCCCACUCUGAAGGCAUUUUAACAGAGCGAAAAUAUCCUAAUUAAAUAUAGCAUAAAGUGAAAAUACCAGGAUAGAAAACUGGAUGUUUACCAUGAUCCCUACUGGGUUUGGAAAACAGAUCCAUAUGUAGAACUCCAAAAUACUAACAAGGGGUUUCUACGGAUUACCAAAAGGACGCGCCUUAGUUCUUUUUUUAAAUAUUACUUUUCAACAUGUAUACAUCACACAUUUUCUGGAGCAUGCAUAAAUGAUGUUUUUAAUUAGAAGGAAAUAUUUAAAAGUGCAGAUUCUUUUCUGACAGAGGAGGCAUCAAACAUGGCUCGGCUUUUAGCAGCUCCCCAGCGGAACUCUUGUCACUUGAAACUAGUGACCUCACCAAGUUCAAGUGCUGGGGAUUGAACCCAGGGCCUCAUGAAUGGUUGGCGAAUGCUCUGCCACUCAGCUACAUAUCCCGUCUUGUUCUCCACGUAGAGCUGGCAGAUAGACCUGGCCUGGGAGCAAGGAGCGACUAGUGGGGCCACAGGAGCCUGUGCCCCAGAGGAAAGAGAGGCACCUUUGAAAAUGCUUCCAAUGUCAACGCUGCGAGAAUGGUAGGGAGGGCACCGCCAGGAACAGACAGGGCUACGUGGCACGUCCCAGGCACCCCCCUGAAGCACGAGAGCCUGGUCCCCACCGUCCUGCCUUGUGACACCCGCCAGGCAGCAGGUGCUCCAAGCCAUCACAGAAACCGAAUGGCACCAUCCCCACUUGCUUGCUGGGCAGAUGGGCCUUGUCCAACCCAAAGCGACAGAGGCAGCUGCAGGCAGAACACUGAAAAGCAAGACAACCUCCCUCUCCCUGGAGCAUCAUGCAAAAAAAAAAAAAAAGGGAUUUCUCAGUUUCUCUUCUCCUGACAGCCUUCUGCUGUUGCCUCCCUGGCAUUUCUCCAUAUUAUCUUCCCAGCAUUUUCCAGGCAGUUAUGCUAGCCGGUCCACUCCCACCCACCGCACACCCACAGAAUGAGUGCCCCAUGUUAGAUUCCCCCUCAGCCACUCAGUGCCACUUCUGGACACCAUGACAAGGGAAUGGUGGGAUCAUCUGUUGCAUCAGGAACAUGUGAAUGGAGGACCCACAGCAACAGCUUCCGAGGAUGGGUGACCGGGGUAGUCAGCUUGGUGUCCACUGUGCAGCUGCUCUGUACCCAGCACUGCAGGGCACUCCAGAGAAAAUUCUGCCCAUAUUACACUAUAGGAAUAAAGGUCAUGUUUAGACCUUGGAUCUAGCUGCGAAAAGGCAUUGCACACAGUUGUUAGAAGCCAUCAAGCGCACCGUCUGUUGGAGCGAUUCUGAAGCCCAGUUCUGAGCCCAGGAACGGUGUGUGAGCCGCACCAGUGCCUCCUGGGGGCAGGAGCACCAGUGGGGUCAGGGUCUGAAUUCUCCUCCCAAAGACUGGGGUGCUACCGAGAGGGAGGAUGUUUGGGUUGGAGGCAUCCUGGAGGCUUCAAGGAGGAAGGAGGGUUUUCGUUCAUUAGAAAAUGAAAACUUGGGCGAGUUCAAGGACAAUUUGGUCAGAGGAAAUACAAUACCAGACAAGGGAUGUGCAGGAGAUAGUGAGGCAGAAAGGUAAAAGCUGAGUACUGUAGCUCAAGGACAUGAGGUUGGGCAGGUGAUGGGGGAUUCCAGAUCAUGAAACCUGAUAUGGCACAGGGAUGGGUUUUAGGGUACAUAUAGGUCUGAACACAUUGUUUCUCCUUCCACUCAUUUAAUGUCUUAAGUAUUUAUUGUGUGCCUAGGUGUGAUGCAUGAGAUUACUAGAAAUUGAAGUUCUCACACUGCCCCUUUGUCUGUCUUUAUUGCCAAAGAGAAGGAAAGAUGUGAUAAAUCAGGAGAUUUGAAAAGCCACCUGGACCUGAGGCACGGGGAUGAAGAGAGGGUCUGGCUCACCCAGGACUAUCCAACCUCAACCGUCACCCUCCGUGCUACUCAAACUGUGGUCUGUGGACUAGCAGCAUUGGCAUCACCAGCGGGUUUCUUUGGUUAAUCCUGAAUCCCAGGCAUCUCCCUAGACCUAAAGUCAGGAUGUGCAUUUUCAAAAGAUCCCCGCCCCGCAGUAAUCUGUCUGAAAUCUGGAGCCCCAAAGGCUCAGGAGCCAAGAACUAUAAGCAGAGCUGGGGGGAGUCUCAGCUGUCAUCUAAUUCAACCCCACAACAUGCAAGGUGAGGAAACUGAGGCCUAAAAAAGUUGGAUGAUUUCCCAAUUUUCCCAGUUUUUAGGAUUUCACUGUCACCUGGUUUCUGGCUCAAGAAAUCAACAGUGAUUCUAUACAGCCACACAGCCUUCCUCAGCACAAUGUACCCCUGGGAGUCACACCAUUCUCCAUCCCCUGUGCUGUGAGGUGCAGCCACAGCCCCAUGUUAUCCACAGCAAGAGUACAGAAGAGGGUGAAAAUCAACACAACUUUCCACCACUCAGAACCACAAACCAAGACAUCACAUGUGCAAGAAAAACCAUUCAGGUGGCCUGGUGGGGACCAUCCUUAUCAAGACCUUUACACAGAUUUCUACCACACCCAUAGUCUUGCCACUCAUCAAACUGUGAUAUGCAUCAUCAAAACAAAGAAAGAAGAAGAAGAAAAAAAAAAGCUUGUGAACAAGAGAUUCUCUACAGAGUAGAAUAUAAAACUCUAUUCAAGUAACUCUCUGAACUGGUUGUUUUUUAAGACUCCUCUGUAUGAAAUCCUGUUCCAGUUAGGAGUAAAUAUGAGAAGGACCAUCCCAGGCGGUUGGUGAUAAUGUGGCAUUCGUUGCAAUACUGCGUGCACAUAGAGCCUGUACUCCAAGUCAUGUGCCAGUAGAGAAGGGAGCUUUUUCCCCCCAGGGGCCAGAGUGAGGAUGCAGAAAGAGAUGGUUAAUAAUUUUCUUUUCAUUUGACAGCUUGGAAAAUCCCAGUUUGGCUUUAUCGUGCCAGCUCUUUGGUUAUAAUUUAACACCUAUUCCAAGAAAAGGAGACGCAUGAAUGUCAGCGAGCAACACAAUGCCACUUUCUUUGCCAGCCAGAACGAUCUUUUUAUGUCCUUGAUAAGCCCACAAAUAAAUUUGUCAAUUUAUUCAUAGCUGUUCUUUGGAGUCAAGAUGCAACCUCUUAUGUUCUGUAGACAUGGGUACCGCUUUCUUUACGGUCCCCCCAUCUGUUUUUCUACCACAUGGGCAUAAAGAUUUGCAGAAGCUCCUAAAUAAGAAAGUGAUUUCAAUCCUUCUGUAGUAGCUCCCUAGCCAUCUGCCAUCAUAUCCCAUGUGCACCCCGUCAUGACAACCACUUUGACUGUUUCAAGGCAAGAAUUGGGGACAGUGAUCUCCCAGACUCCGGGCAGGACUCCAUCAUGCAAAGAGGAGAAAAAAAAAAAUCGUCGCAGAGAGUGAGAUGAAGCCAGUCUCCUUUGGUGACAACGCCUUGCCUUGCAAAAGUCCCAGUGUGCUGUCAGGAAACAGACCAACCCUCCAUCAAAAGGGAGUGAAGUGACUUUAGACCUAUAGGACAAAUAUUCUGUUUUGGGAGGUCACCUGGUGUGCCUAAUAAUGCAGGGAGAAAAAAAUUCUCUUUAAUGACAUCUCAGUAGGCUCUCAUACUUUCUGGCUUUCCCAAUUGUAAGAUCUGGCAUGUUCAAAUGCUUCCUUUGUGAAGUGGUCUUUAGAUGAGAAUAGCUUUGCAUGUUCAUGUUCCCUAAUACAUCAAGAGCUGUGGGCAACCUCCCUGGGCUCCAGGCCUCUGGUAACUCUAAUUGGAGUUAUGCAAAAGCAAUUACAGUUAAUGACAGUCAUCCUGAUAUUUUCACUUCCUUUUUCUUAUGAGGCCCAGGGAUUCGGAUUCCUUUGCCUGUUCUAAAUGGUGC
rnacentral:lncRNA from 1 species